CAAAGAUUGCGCUCUCCCCCUCUCCUCGCCUAGAGACCAGAAGCGUCCCUAGUUACUAGUUCCUGGGGCCUGGGAGGGAAACGCGCGACGGCUGAGCCUUCGGUAACUCUUUCCAUCCUGUAACAGUGCACUAUUUUUAAGCUUAACUCCUUUCUGAAGAAUAUCAAAUUUAACAACAGUGUUGGUGACCAGGUGAAUUUGGAUUACAAAUUAAUUUCUGGGACAGAAUAUGAUAUUCUCAACUUUUGGAACUUCAGGUGAG
rnacentral:lncRNA from 10 species